CACCCCGGAAGGGGAGUGAAAUAGAACCUGAAACCGUGUGCUUACAAGUAGUCAGAGCCCGUUAAUGGGUGAUGGCGUGCCUUUUGUAGAAUGAACCGGCGAGUUACGAUUUGAUGCAAGGUUAAGCAGUAAAUGUGGAGCCGUAGCGAAAGCGAGUCUGAAUAGGGCGUUUAGUAUUUGGUCGUAGACCCGAAACCAGGUGAUCUACCCUUGGUCAGGUUGAAGUUCAGGUAACACUGAAUGGAGGACCGAACCGACUUACGUUGAAAAGUGAGCGGAUGAACUGAGGGUAGCGGAGAAAUUCCAAUCGAACCUGGAGAUAGCUGGUUCUCUCCGAAAUAGCUUUAGGGCUAGCCUCAAGUGAUGAUUAUUGGAGGUAGAGCACUGUUUGGACGAGGGGCCCCUCUCGGGUUACCGAAUUCAGACAAACUCCGAAUGCCAAUUAAUUUAACUUGGGAGUCAGAACAUGGGUGAUAAGGUCCGUGUUCGAAAGGGAAACAGCCCAGACCACCAGCUAAGGUCCCAAAAUAUAUGUUAAGUGGAAAAGGAUGUGGCGUUGCCCAGACAACUAGGAUGUUGGCUUAGAAGCAGCCAUCAUUUAAAGAGUGCGUAAUAGCUCACUAGUCGAGUGACACUGCGCCGAAAAUGUACCGGGGCUAAACAUAUUACCGAAGCUGUGGAUUGUCCUUUGGACAAUGGUAGGAGAGCGUUCUAAGGGCGUUGAAGCAUGAUCGUAAGGACAUGUGGAGCGCUUAGAAGUGAGAAUGCCGGUGUGAGUAGCGAAAGACGGGUGAGAAUCCCGUCCACCGAUUGACUAAGGUUUCCAGAGGAAGGCUCGUCCGCUCUGGGUUAGUCGGGUCCUAAGCUGAGGCCGACAGGCGUAGGCGAUGGAUAACAGGUUGAUAUUCCUGUACCACCUAUAAUCGUUUUAAUCGAUGGGGGGACGCAGUAGGAUAGGCGAAGCGUGCGAUUGGAUUGCACGUCUAAGCAGUAAGACUGAGUAUUAGGCAAAUCCGGUACUCGUUAAGGCUGAGCUGUGAUGGGGAGAAGACAUUGUGUCUUCGAGUCGUUGAUUUCACACUGCCGAGAAAAGCCUCUAGAUAGAAAAUAGGUGCCCGUACCGCAAACCGACACAGGUAGUCAAGAUGAGAAUUCUAAGGUGAGCGAGCGAACUCUCGUUAAGGAACUCGGCAAAAUGACCCCGUAACUUCGGGAGAAGGGGUGCUCUUUAGGGUUAACGCCCAGAAGAGCCGCAGUGAAUAGGCCCAAGCGACUGUUUAUCAAAAACACAGGUCUCUGCUAAACCGUAAGGUGAUGUAUAGGGGCUGACGCCUGCCCGGUGCUGGAAGGUUAAGAGGAGUGGUUAGCUUCUGCGAAGCUACGAAUCGAAGCCCCAGUAAACGGCGGCCGUAACUAUAACGGUCCUAAGGUAGCGAAAUUCCUUGUCGGGUAAGUUCCGACCCGCACGAAAGGCGUAACGAUUUGGGCACUGUCUCAACGAGAGACUCGGUGAAAUCAUAGUACCUGUGAAGAUGCAGGUUACCCGCGACAGGACGGAAAGACCCCGUGGAGCUUUACUGUAGCCUGAUAUUGAAAUUCGGCACAGCUUGUACAGGAUAGGUAGGAGCCUUUGAAACGUGAGCGCUAGCUUACGUGGAGGCGCUGGUGGGAUACUACCCUAGCUGUGUUGGCUUUCUAACCCGCACCACUUAUCGUGGUGGGAGACAGUGUCAGGCGGGCAGUUUGACUGGGGCGGUCGCCUCCUAAAAGGUAACGGAGGCGCUCAAAGGUUCCCUCAGAAUGGUUGGAAAUCAUUCAUAGAGUGUAAAGGCAUAAGGGAGCUUGACUGCGAGACCUACAAGUCGAGCAGGGUCGAAAGACGGACUUAGUGAUCCGGUGGUUCCGCAUGGAAGGGCCAUCGCUCAACGGAUAAAAGCUACCCCGGGGAUAACAGGCUUAUCUCCCCCAAGAGUUCACAUCGACGGGGAGGUUUGGCACCUCGAUGUCGGCUCAUCGCAUCCUGGGGCUGUAGUCGGUCCCAAGGGUUGGGCUGUUCGCCCAUUAAAGCGGUACGCGAGCUGGGUUCAGAACGUCGUGAGACAGUUCGGUCCCUAUCCGUCGUGGGCGUAGGAAAUUUGAGAGGAGCUGUCCUUAGUACGAGAGGACCGGGAUGGACAUACCUCUGGUGUACCAGUUGUCGUGCCAACGGCAUAGCUGGGUAGCUAUGUGUGGACGGGAUAAGUGCUGAAAGCAUCUAAGCAUGAAGCCCCCCUCAAGAUGAGAUU
rnacentral:rRNA from 1 species